AUUGAACGCUGGCGGCAUGCCUUACACAUGCAAGUCGAACGGCAGCACGGGAGCUUGCUCCUGGUGGCGAGUGGCGAACGGGUGAGUAAUACAUCGGAACGUACCCUGAAGUGGGGGAUAACGUAGCGAAAGUUACGCUAAUACCGCAUAUUCUGUGAGCAGGAAAGAGGGGGAUCGCAAGACCUCUUGCUUUAGGAGCGGCCGAUGUCGGAUUAGCUAGUUGGUGAGGUAAAGGCUCACCAAGGCGACGAUCCGUAGCGGGUCUGAGAGGAUGAUCCGCCACACUGGGACUGAGACACGGCCCAGACUCCUACGGGAGGCAGCAGUGGGGAAUUUUGGACAAUGGGCGCAAGCCUGAUCCAGCCAU
rnacentral:rRNA from 1 species